UGCAUUUUUUUCCCUAGUAUAUUCUGUCAGACUCCCUUGAUGCAAAUGUACAAUGUUGCUCGAGCGAAAUGCAUUGAAACGUCAGUGCAUUCGCUUGACAUCUGUUCCUUGAAUGACAGUGUCAGUGGAAAAUUUAGCACUAGCAACAACUCUAACAGGAAGGCGUUCGAUUCGUCCUGGUACUUCCCUGAUCUUCUGAGCACAUCGACGACCGUCACGAAGAUGUUCUUCCACGUGGCCAAGGAGAACUCGAAGGAGCAGUCUUGACACCGUGACGCGUGGCGAAUGAUGUCUGCUGAAGUUCACAAUCAAAAGCUCCAGCCGCUCCACUUUCUGCUGAUAUGCUGAGUCCUCACCAUCAUCUUUGAUGAGGCUGAUGACUGGAAUGUCUUCUGUAAACUUUAAGAGUUUGAAGGCCGUGUGCGUUGAAGUGCAGUCGUUCGUGCUGAGAGAGAAGAGCAGCGAGGAGAGGACACAUCCUCAGUCAGUAACAUGUUAACCAGGAGGUGGCGCAAUGAACACACAAACCAGUCACCGUGUAUAAUUGUUGCCACUGGGCAUUUUUUUUCUUUUGUCGUACUGUGUAGUGUUGUGUUUAAAUUGUUCCAUGAAAUGUUAUUUUUGUUUCAAACAUUUAAAUAUCAAAAUACUUUCAGAUUUUAUUGUAUGGGUGUAGCUGUCUUCAGAAAUAUACCGCAAUAUACAGCAUACUUAGAAUGUGUAACUAUUUUACAAAUAAUUCUUGAAAAAAAAUGUUCAGGAUGAAAACUGAAUUUAAUGAGGUAAAAAAAAAAAAAAUUCUUCAUGGAAAGAUGAAGUAAAAAUGAUGUUAACUAAAAGUGUGUCAUUGAUUCUUUCUUUUACUUUUAAGAAAAAAAUUUGUUCAA